rnacentral:rRNA from 1 species
UGGGGAAUUUUGGACAAUGGGGGAAACCCUGAUCCAGCCAUCCCGCGUGUGCGAUGAAGGCCUUCGGGUUGUAAAGCACUUUUGGCAGGAAAGAAACGUCGCGGGUUAAUACCCCGCGAAACUGACGGUACCUGCAGAAUAAGCACCGGCUAACUACGUGCCAGCAGCCGCGGUAAUACGUAGGGUGCAAGCAUUAAUCGGAAUUACUGGGCGUAAAGCGUGCGCAGGCGGUUCGGAAAGAAAGAUGUGAAAUCCCAGAGCUUAACUUUGGAACUGCAUUUUUAACUACCGGGCUAGAGUGUGUCAGAGGGAGGUGGAAUUCCGCGUGUAGCAGUGAAAUGCGUAGAUAUGCGGAGGAACACCGAUGGCGAAGGCAGCCUCCUGGGAUAACACUGACGCUCAUGCACGAAAGCGUGGGGAGCAAACAGGAUUAGAUACCCUGGUAGUCCACGCCCUAAANGAUGUCAACUAGCUGUUGGGGCCUUCGGGCCUUGGUAGCGCAGCUAACGCGUGAAGUUGACCGCCUGGGGAGUACGGUCGCAAGAUUAAAACUC